rnacentral:rRNA from 1 species
CGGAAAGACCCCGUGAACCUUUACUAUAGCUUGACACUGAACAUUGAGCCUUGAUGUGUAGGAUAGGUGGGAGGCUUAGAAGUGUGGACGCCAGUCUGCAUGGAGCCGACCUUGAAAUACCACCCUUUAAUGUUUGAUGUUCUAACGUUGACCCGUGAUCCGGGUUGCGGACAGUGUCUGGUGGGUAGUUUGACUGGGGCGGUCUCCUCCUAAAGAGUAACGGAGGAGCACGAA